rnacentral:rRNA from 1 species
GGAUUUAUUGGGCGUAAGCGAGCGCAGGCGGUCUUUUAAGUCUAAUGUGAAAGCCUUCGGCUCAACCGAAGAAGUGCAUUGGAAACUGGGAGACUUGAGUGCAGAAGAGGACAGUGGAACUCCAUGUGUAGCGGUGAAAUGCGUAGAUAUAUGGAAGAACACCAGUGGCGAAGGCGGCUGUCUGGUCUGCAACUGACGCUGAGGCUCGAAAGCAUGGGUAGCGAACAGGAUUAGAUACCCUGGUAGUCCAUGCCGUAAACGAUGAUUACUAAGUGUUGGAGGGUUUCCGCCCUUCAGUGCUGCAGCUAACGCAUUAAGUAAUCCGCCUGGGGAGUACGACCGCAAGGUUGAAACUCAAAAGAAUUGACGGGGGCCCGCACAAGCGGUGGAGCAUGUGGUUUAAUUCGAAGCUACGCGAAGAACCUUACCAGGUCUUGACAUCUUCUGACAGUCUAAGAGAUUAGAGGUUCCCUUCGGGGACAGAAUGACAGGUGGUGCAUGGUUGUCGUCAGCUCGUGUCGUGAGAUGUUGGGUUAAGUCCCGCAACGAGCGCAACCCUUAUUACUAGUUGCCAGCAUUAAGUUGGGCACUCUAGUGAGACUGCCGGUGACAAACCGGAGGAAGGUGGGGACGACGUCAAAUCAUCAUGCCCCUUAUGACCUGGGCUACACACGUGCUACAAUGGAUGGUACAACGAGUCGCGAGACCGCGAGGUUAAGCUAAUCUCUUAAAACCAUUCUCAGUUCGGACUGUAGGCUGCAACUCGCCUACACGAAGUCGGAAUCGCUAGUAAUCGCGGAUCAGCAUGCCGCGGUGAAUACGUUCCCGGGCCUUGUACACACCGCCCGUCACACCAUGAGAGUUUGUAACACCCAAAGCCGGUGGGGUAACCUUUUAGGAGCUAGCC